rnacentral:tRNA from 1 species
GGGGUUGUAGCUCAGUGGUAGAGCUCUUGCCUCGAAUGCAGAGACACUGGGUUUGAUCCUCAGCACCA